GUGGGCAUAACAUCAUUGAGGUGUAUUCAAUUCAGCAAUCAACAAAGCAGUUGCCUGGUGCUGUUGGGUUCAAGUUGUCUGGGAAAUUGAACAAUGGUGUUACAGCUACCGACUUAGUUUUAACUGUGACGCAAAUGUUGAGGAAGCAUGGGGUUGUUGGCAAGUUCGUUGAGUUUUAUGGUGGGGGCAUGGGUGAAUUAUCAUUGGCUGAUAGGGCUACUAUUGCUAAUAUGUCUCCUGAAUAUGGAGCAACCAUGGGUUUCUUUCCUGUAGAUCAUGUCACUCUACAAUAUCUCAAGCUAACAGGAUGAAGUGACGAAACUGUGGCAAUGAUAGAAGCCUAUCUGAGUGCAAACAACGUGUUCGUUGACUACAACAAGGUAUACAUCUUUCUUAACCAUUCAGUUUUAAUUGAGCAUUUGACUCUGAAAUGUAAUUGAUUUCUUUUUGUGGAUCCAGCCUAAAAAAGAGAGUAUAUUCAUCUUAUCUAGAGCCAGAUCUUGCAGAUGUUGAACCCUGCAUCUCAGUUCCAAAGCGGUAUGUUCGUGUUAGUUUAAUCCAUGUGCUAUAUUCACUCAGUUGUUGAAUCAUUAUAUUCAAGUUGGAGAUAUUGCAAGAAAGGUAUUUUAUUUGGGUCAGUAGGCUUUUAGACUGAGCUUCUCUUGUUUUUGGUAUGACUUUGUAAUAUGGCUUUAAAGUCACUAGUAUGGAGUUAUUAUGGCAAAUUUGAUGUUUUUGUUUUUUAUUGAAUAAAUUAGUUUCACCAAGUGAAUGAGGUGCAACAAACUGCCUCAU